rnacentral:tRNA from 1 species
UUUUAUCUAAUUUAUAGUAAAAUAUUUAUUUGUCAAGUAAACAAUACCUUGUGGUGAUGAAAU